UGGGGAAUAUCGCACAAUGGGCGCAAGCCUGAUGCAGACAUGCCGCGUGUAUGACGAAGGCCUUCGGGUUGUAAAGUACUUUCAGCGGGGAGGAAGGUGUUGUGGUUAAUAACCUCAGCAAUUGACGUUACCCGCAGAAGAAGCACCGGCUAACUCCGUGCCAGCAGCCGCGGUAAUACGGAGGGUGCAAGCGUUAAUCGGAAUUACUGGGCGUAAAGCGCACGCAGGCGGUCUGUCAAGUCGGAUGUGAAAUCCCCGGGCUCAACCUGGGAACUGCAUCCGAAACUGGCAGGCUUGAGUCUUGUAGAGGGGGGUAGAAUUCCAGGUGUAGCGGUGAAAUGCGUAGAGAUCUGGAGGAAUACCGGUGGCGAAGGCGGCCCCCUGGACAAAGACUGACGCUCAGGUGCGAAAGCGUGGGGAGCAAACA
rnacentral:rRNA from 1 species